rnacentral:rRNA from 1 species
CGGCGUGCUUAACACAUGCAAGUCGAACGGAAAGGCUCCAGCUUGCUGGGGUGCUCGAGUGGCGAACGGGUGAGUAACACGUAAGUGAUCUGCCCUGCACUGGGGGAUAAGCUUGGGAAACUGGGUCUAAUACCCUAUAGGACCGCAUCGUGGUUGGUGUGGUGGAAAGGUUUUUCUGGUGUGGGAUGAGCUUGCGGCCUAUCAGCUUGUUGGUGGGGUAAUGGCCUACCAAGGCGGCGACGGGUAGCCGGCCUGAGAGGGUGUGCGGCCACAUUGGGACUGAGAUACGGCCCAGACUCCUACGGGAGGCAGCAGUGGGGAAUUUUGCACAAUGGGCGGAAGCCUGAUGCAGCGACGCCGUGUGGGGGAUGAAGGCCUUCGGGUUGUAAACUCCUUUCGUCAGGGACGAAGUUUUUUUGACGGUACCUGGAUAAGAAGCACCGGCUAACUACGUGCCAGCAGCCGCGGUAAUACGUAGGGUGCGAGCGUUGUCCGGAUUUACUGGGCGUAAAGGGCUCGUAG